rnacentral:rRNA from 1 species
CCUACGGGAGGCAGCAGUGAGGAAUAUUGGUCAAUGGCCGGAAGGCUGAACCAGCCAUGCCGCGUGCAGGUCAGUGCCCUAUGGGCGUUAAACUUCUUUUGUGCGGGAGCAAUAAUGGUCACGUGUGGCCAGACGAGAGUACCGUACGAAUAAGCAUCGGCUAACUUCGUGCCAGCAGCCGCGGUAAUACGGGGGAUGCAAGCGUUAUCCGGGUUUAUUGGGUUUAAAGGGUGCAUAGGCUGUGAGGUAAGUCAGCGGUGAAAUGCCCCCGCUCAACGGGGUGAAGUGCCAUUGAUACUGCCUUGCUGGAAUGCGGAUGCCGUGGGAGGAAUGUGUGGUGUAGCGGUGAAAUGCAUAGAUAUCACACAGAACACCGAUUGCGAAGGCAGCUCACGAAUCCGCGAUUGACGCUGAUGCACGAAAGCGUGGGUAUCAAACAGGAUUAGAUACCCCUGUAGUC